UGUCCAGUAGCACCUUAGAGACCAACUAAGUUUGUUCUGGGUAUAAGCUUUCGUGUGCAUGCACACUUCCCCAGAACAAACUUAGUUGGUCUCUAAGGCUCUACUGGACA